AGCGGCGAACGGGUGAGUAACACGUAGGUCAUCUGCCCAUCAGACGGGGACAACGAUUGGAAACGAUCGCUAAUACCGGAUAGGACGAAAGUUUAAAGGUGCUUCUGGCACCGCUGAUGGAUGAGCCUGCGGCGCAUUAGCUAGUUGGUAGGGUAAAGGCCUACCAAGGCGACGAUGCGUAGCCGACCUGAGAGGGUGAACGGCCACACUGGGACUGAGACACGGCCCAGACUCCUACGGGAGGCAGCAGUAGGGAGUCUUCGGCAAUGGGCGAAAGCCUGACCGAGCAACGCCGCGUGAAUGAUGAAGGCCUUCGGGUUGUAAAAUUCUGUUAUAAGGGAAGAACGACUUUAGUAGGAAAUGGCUAGAGUGUGACGGUACCUUAUGAGAAAGCCACGGCUAACUACGUGCCAGCAGCCGCGGUAAUACGUAGGUGGCGAGCGUUAUCCGGAAUUAUUGGGCGUAAAGAGCGCGCAGGUGGUUGAUUAAGUCUGAUGUGAAAGCCCACGGCUUAACCGUGGAGGGUCAUUGGAAACUGGUCGACUUGAGUGCAGAAGAGGGAAGUGGAAUUCCAUGUGUAGCGGUGAAAUGCGUAGAGAUAUGGAGGAACACCAGUGGCGAAGGCGGCUUCCUGGUCUGUAACUGACACUGAGGCGCGAAAGCGUGGGGAGCAAACAGGAUUAGAUACCCUGGUAGUCCACGCCGUAAACGAUGAGUGCUAAGUGU
rnacentral:rRNA from 1 species